UACGUAGGGUGCAAGCGUUGUCCGGAUUUAUUGGGCGUAAAGAGCUCGUAGGCGGUUUGUCGCGUCGGAUGUGAAAACCCAGGGCUCAACCCUGGGCCUGCAUUCGAUACGGGCAAACUAGAGUAUGGCAGGGGAGACUGGAAUUCCUGGUGUAGCGGUGAAAUGCGCAGAUAUCAGGAGGAACACCGGUGGCGAAGGCGGGUCUCUGGGCCAAAACUGACGCUGAGGAGCGAAAGCGUGGGGAGCGAACAGG
rnacentral:rRNA from 1 species